GGCAGUGUUGGAUUUUUGAUCCUAUGAAGCUGAAAUGAUUUAAUUCGAAGUAGGGGCCUGGAAACGAGUUUAUUGUUUGAUCAGUUGCCGUUCUAACAAUUGAACAAUAUACAAUAGUAUUUCCAAGUCAAAGCACUUCGAUUUUUCAGACUCUGAUUGUGUACGUGCAAGUUAUCUGAACCCUCAAGCUCCAGAACGAGACGGAGAACACAAAGGCCUGCGCGAAGGUAGCAUUAGCGCAGACUGGAGUGAACCUGGAGUAUCAGUUCAGCUCAGGCACCUUGGCAGAAUGUACCCAAUGUAUCCAGAGAGGCACAGUCACCAGAGGGAGUAUGGAGAACCAGAGAUAUGCAGUCAGAGGAGGGAGUAUGAAGAACCAGAGAGAUGCAGUCAGAGGAGGGAGUAUGAAGAACCAGAGAGAUGUAGUCAGAGGAGGGAGUAUGAAGAACCAGAGAGAUGCAGUCAGAGGAGGGAGUAUGAAGAACCAGAGAGAUGCAGUCAGAGGAGGGAGUAUGAAGAACCAGAGAGAUGUAGUCAGAGGAGGGAGUAUGAAGAACCAGAGAGAUGCAGUCAGAGGAGGGAGUAUGAAGAACCAGAGAGAUGUAGUCAGAGGAGGGAGUAUGAAGAACCAGAGAGAUGCAGUCAGAGGAGGGAGUAUGAAGAACCAGAGACAUGCAGUCAGUGGAUGGUGUAUGAAGAACCAGAGACAUGCAGUCAGUGGAGGGUGUAUGAAGAACCAGAGACAUGCAGUCAGAGGAGGGAGUAUGGAGAACCGAGCUCAGGGCAAUGGGAUGAUGACCUUGAGACGAGAGACAACGGCCAGGCUAUGGCCAGAGAGCCCUACAGUGAAUACUCCAGCAUGAGGAGGACUAGAGAAGGUUGGGAGGAGUAUGGUACUUCCUCUGAUAUGAGCUACAUCAUGGACCCAUCUUCUGGAGACUGGAGCGAGGACUCAUUGAGGGGUAGCGGUGCUCCCUUCUCCCCAGACACAGAUGGUGACGUUGAUGGAGAUCCUGUGGAGCUCAGUGUGGAGGACCGGGAGCUCCUUCGUAAGAGGAUGGAGCUGGAGAUCAUAGAGGAACAGAUUGCCCGCAAAAAAGCUGCUCUUGCUAUGGAAUUGGUUGGACCUGAAUCAAAGGCCAUUCGUAAACAGAAGACGAAGGACAAGGACCUUGAGAUGUUAACAGAAAAUGUUUCCAAUAAGGAUGUUACUCUUAAAGAGAGGGUGAAUAGCAUUUUGAGAAAGCGGGCAUGGACCAAUGAAUGUCGCUCAAAGGAGGCUGCCAACCAGCAGGUCCCUCCCAAGCUUGUUCUCUAUCCGCCCAAAGUGGUCAAAAGCUUUGUGGAGAGGAUGAACGAAUCCAUCCUGCACAAAGACAGCAUAAUGAAGGGCAACCUUACCCUGGACGUCCAUGAAGAGGAGCAUCCUCUGAAACUCAAAGUGGAGGCUUUAUUGGAGCAGCGACGCAAUCCCACGGUGAAUAAGGAGGACAAAGCAGCCAAGGGCUUCCAGUACUUCCUCAAUGUCCUCAACAAAGGGGUGGACAUCGACAGGCUCUCAAAGAUUGUCAACAAUUUCAAGGAUUUACCCUCUAUGGGAGAGGAGCUGCCACAAGGUCAGCCGCCUCCACUUGAUGGCCAGCCCGAGACCACCUCUAAGAGUCAGAGGAAGGUGCCCUCUCGCAAAAGGCGCUCCCGGUUUGAUGAGCUCCCGCCAAGUUGGUUCAAUAUACUCUCGGGUCAGCCCACACUACUCGGGGUUCAGCCCAAUCCGCUUGGGGAUCUGUUGCGUGAAGUGGUCCCAGCAGGUUGCGUUCUGCCACAGGACCGCAGUCUCUUACAAAGUGGAGGAAGAGAGAUUGGGCAACAUAGCCUUAGCUUGGGCUUCAUCCAGGCUAUGGAUGGCCCAAAAAACAAAAAGCCCAAAUCUACACAGGUGGAGGAGAAGAUGAAAGGGAGGUAUAUGUCCAAGUCUCCACCUGUUGAGGAGAAGAGGAAAGGGAGGCAUAAGUCCAAGUCUCCACCUGUUGAGGAGAAGAGGAAAGGGAGGCAUAAGUCCAAGUCUCCACCUGUUGAGGAGAAGAGGAAAGGGAGGCAUAAGUCCAAGUCUCCACCUGUUGAGGAGAAGAGGAAAGGGAGGCAUAAGUCCAAGUCUCCACCUGUUGAGGAGAAGAGGAAAGAGAGGCAUAAGUCCAUGUCUCCACAGCUGGAGGAGAAAAGGAAAAUGAGGCCUGAGGAUGAGGAUGAGCAGAAGUACGGACUGAUCCAGAGCCUGCUGCAGCCUAUUGGGAUGGAUCUGGGGGUGGAGGAGUUGGGCCAACUGAACGACAGGAUCCAGGAGAGGCUGUAUGGGAAGAAGAGAGACCUGGAGAAGAAGGGGGGCAAGAAAGAAAGCGUGUGGGGGGUUGAGAAAGAGGAGAGCAAGAAGGACAAAGAGGAGAGCAAGAAGGACAAAGAGGAGAGCAAGAAGGACAAAGAGGAGAGCAAGAAGGACAAAGAGGUGAGCGAGAAGGACAAAGAGGUGAGCGAGAAGGACAAAGAGGUGAGCGAGAAGGACAAAGAGGUGAGCGAGAAGGACAAAGAGGAGAGCGAGAAGGACAAAGAGGAGAGCGAGAAGGACAAAGAGGAGAGCGAGAAAGACAAACAGAAGGAGGAAGAGGAGAGCGAGAAAGAUAAGGAGGAAGAGGAGAGCGAGAAAGAUGAGGAGGAAGAGGAGAGCGAGAAAGAUAAACAGAAGGAGGAAGAGGAGAGCGAGAAAGAUAAACAGAAGGAGAAAGAGGAGAGCGAGAAAGGGAAAGAUAAAGAGGAGAGAGCAUGCUCAAGUAAAUGUCACAGUAUUUCCUUGUUAUCAGAUAGCUCCAACUCCAGCCCCCCUUGCCAUCGGUGGACGACAGAAUACAAACGCUCUAGCACCAGAGACCAGGACAGAGAGAGAGACGGCGGCAGAUCUGAGAAAAACAGAGAGAGAUACAAGGGCAGAUCUAAGAGAGACAGAGACAGACGCUCUAGCACCAGAGACCAGGACAGAGAGAGAGACAGGGGCAGAUCUGAGAGAGACAGAGACAGACGCUCUAGCACCAGAGACCAGGACAGAGAGAGAGACAGGGGCAGAUCUAAGAGAGACAGAGACAGACGCUCUAGCACCAGAGACCAGGACAGAGAGAGAGACGGGGGCAGAUCUGAGAGAGACAGACGCUCUAGCACCAGAGACCAGGACAGAGAGAGAGACGGGGGCAGAUCUAAGAGAGACAGAGACAGACGCUCUAGCACCAGAGACCAGGACAGAGACAGAGACUGGGGCAGAUCUGAGAGAUACGGGGGCAGAUCUGAGAGAGACAGAGACAGACGCUCUAGCGCCAGAGACCAGGACCGAGAGAGAGACGGGGGCAGAUCUGAGCGAAACCGAGAGAGAGACAGACACUCUAGUACCAGAGAGCUGGAUAGAUAUAGAUGGUGGGAGACAGAAAGGAAAAUAUGCCCUAGUACUAGAGACGGGGACAGAGAGUGGGACAGGAGCAGAUCUGAGAGAGACAGAAACAUACUAUCUAGUACCAGAGACGGAUCAGAGAAAGAUGGUGAUGGAGACAGAUCUGAGAGAGACAAGGACAGAGAGAGAUGGUGGGAGCGAGACAAAGACUGGGAAGGGGACAAGGAAAGCUUCCUGGGGCUUUACCCGUACUCCAACGAUCCUACACACCCUCAUGCAUCUUUGAUGGCAACCGACUCAGUGCAGUACUCUCAGUACAUGGCAUACCACAGCAGCCAAUACGCCAGCGCCUUCCCUCCAGGGUGUGGCUUUCCCCCUGGUACCGUGUUCCCUGGUACCGUGCCCCCUGGUACCAUGCCCCCUGGUACAGUGCCCCUGCCCCACUGUACCAGUGCCCCUGGUACAGUGCCCCCGUGCCCCCUGGUACAGUGCCCCCCCUAUCCACUGUACCCCAACUGCCCACCUUAUUACUAUAAUGGCACUUCAGAAACGUUUUUCCAGGCAUACACACAGGCCACUGGAAACCCCCAGUUCACAAACAUGGAUGUACAAGUGCAGGACCCAGACCCAUCCCUGAACAUCCCUGAACAGGACAUAGAGACUGUGUGGCCCAGACUUGUCCAUCCCAGCAUAAACCAAGACUCAAAGCCUGCCAGACUAAACCAGUUGAGUAUAAAAAUGCAACUAAAGAGGCAACGCUAUAGGAUUAAUUUGAGGAAUCGCAAUAAUCUACAAGAAUUGAGACAGCUUAAAGAAACUCCUCGGGUGGCUGCCAAGGAGCCCCCCUCUGAGCCAGGUACAAAGAAAGUGCCAGAAGGAGAUGCAGUCAUAGAAGGUGAGAGACGGCAUUUAGUGGUCCCUCCGGUGGCUACAAAUGAUUCUGGGGCACCCUCUAGAACAGGAUUCCCAAAUAGAAAAUGGAGAAAAGGGAAAACACUGGAAGAAAAAGGAUGUAUAUUCAACCAAGGUUUAUCCAUGAGAAACAGAGCCUAUAUGACAAAGUGGAAACUGCGUUUGGCAGAAGCAGUUGCAAAAGGCCUUGAGGUCCCCUCUGAACCAGAGCCCAAGACGGAGCCAGAAGCGGAGGACAAAUCAUUGACAGAAUGGCAGAGACUGUUUGCAGACUCUGUGGCGAAUGUGGCUGCAACGGACCUAUUUGCCCUCUCUGAACCAGAGGCUGAGAAAAAGCCUGACUGGGAGAUCGAGCAGAAAAAGACAGACGAAGAGAUGAAGGAGAAAUUAAAGAAAAAGCUUGGCGAGUUCAACCUGAAGAUGAAGCAGAAAUCAACGCAUUUAAAAGAAGCCCAACAGAAGCCCCAACAUAACCUGAAAGGGCGGCUGUUGUAGGUAAAACAGCUUGAAAUACAACAUCUGUUUCAUGUCAAUGAAUGUGUGUUCAUAUCACACCUUAAAAAUGCGUCAUGAGCUCAUCUCCCCUUCGAACCUGCUGCUGACCCAUCCAGACCCUGUGGACAUCCGUUGGCUAACAUUCUCUUUAUCUAAUAUACACUAACCGGACAGUUUAUUAGGUACACACCGGGUCGGAUCCUCCUUUUCCUCCAGAACAGCCAGAAUUUUUCGGGGCAUUCUACAAGUUGUCUGAAACGUUCCACAGGGAUGCUGGUUCAUGCUGAUGUGAUGGCAUCACGCAGUUGCUGCAGAUUGAACGGCAAUACAUUCAUGCUGCGAACAGCCCAUUCCAUCUCAUCCCAAAGAUGCUGUACUGGGUUGAGGUCUGAGGACUGAGCAGGCCACUCAAGUAAACUGAACUUUCUGUCAUGCUCCAGGCGAUGUUUUUCCACUCCUUGAUUGUCCAUUGUUGAUGAUCAUGUUCCCACUGGAGCCGCUGCUUCUUGUUUUUAGCUGAUAGGAGUGGAACCCGGUGUGGUUGUCUGCAGCAAUAGCCAAUCCCCGACAAGGAUCGACAAGUUGUGCGUUCUGAGAUGCUGUUCGGCACACCACUGUUGUACUGCGUCAUUAUUUGUCUGUUUGUGGCCCGCCUGUUGGCUUGCACGAUUCUUGCCAUUCUCUUUUGACCUCUCAUCAACGAGUUGUUUUCGCCAACAGGACUGCCGCAGAAUGGAUGUUUUUUUGUUUGUCGCACCAUUCACGGUAAACUCUAGACACUGUUGUGCCUGAAAAGCCCAGGAAGGUGGCCAUUUCUGAGAACAGGAGUGUCUGGCACCGACGAUCAUAACAUGCUUAAAGUCACUUACGUCAGUUGUUUUGUCCAUUCUAACGUUCAAUGGAACAGUAACUGAAUGCCUCAAUCCCUGUCUCCCUGCUUUAUAUAGCAAGUCACGGCCACGUGACUCACUGUCUGUAAGAGCGAUCCAUUUUCGUAAAUGGGGUGGUGUACCAAAUAAACUGGCCGAUGAGUGA